AUUAGCAGCAUUAAUGCCUCGUAGCCUGAGCACAUCAGAUCUCAGAAGCUAGGCAAGGCAGGGCCUGGUCGGUACUGGCAUGGGAGAUCUAUGGAAAACCGGGCUGCUGCUAUAU
rnacentral:rRNA from 1 species